rnacentral:rRNA from 1 species
AUUGAACGCUGGCGGCAGGCCUAACACAUGCAAGUCGAACGGUAACAGGAAGAAGCUUGCUUCUUUGCUGACGAGUGGCGGACGGGUGAGUAAUGUCUGGGAAACUGCCUGAUGGAGGGGGAUAACUACUGGAAACGGUAGCUAAUACCGCACAACGUCGCAAGACCAAAGAGGGGGACCUUCGGGCCUCUUGCCAUCGGAUGUGCCCAGAUGGGAUUAGCUAGUAGGUGGGGUAACGGCUCACCUAGGCGACGAUCCCUAGCUGGUCUGAGAGGAUGACCAGCCACACUGGAACUGAGACACGGUCCAGACUCCUACGGGAGGCAGCAGUGGGGAAUAUUGCACAAUGGGCGCAAGCCUGAUGCAGCCAUGCCGCGUGUAUGAAGAAGGCCUUCGGGUUGUAAAGUACUUUCAGCGGGGAGGAAGGGAGUAAAGUUAAUACCUUGGCUCAUUGACGUUACCCGCAGAAGAAGCACCGGCUAACUCCGUG